UUUGCUUCAGACAAUUCAGGAUUCCUGCAUGCCUGAGAGCCAGAGCCUUGACUAUGGUGAUCAUCUUGCUGGGGACUCCAAAAUGUUAAGGCGAGAUUGCAAUAACCACUGAGUUGAUCUUAAAGCAGGAGACAGAAACUUUAUUUACCAGUUGGUGGGCCAAGGGAAAAGGGGUAGGUGAUGUUGGUUAAAGGGUAUAAAGUUUAUACAUGAUGGAGAAUUUUUAAAGAUCUAAUGAAUAGCAUGGUGAAUACAGUUAAUAAUAUGGGAUGUUUAAAAUUUGCUAAGGGGGUAGAUCUUGGUACUCUCAAACACACACACACACACUCAGAAGAAAAUGGUGACUGAGCUGAUAGAUAAGUUCAAUAAUUUGUGCUGAUCAUUUCACUGUGUAUCCACAUGUCAUGUUUUGUACAUCAAGGUGUACAAAUUAAAUUUCACAGUUAUACCUCAACAACAGUGUUAACAAAAACAGUAGCCAAGAGUCUGCAUGGUGUGGGCACCAGUACUGAAGGAAGGAACAAGGUCAGCCAUUCUCAGGGGAUGCACCCAAAGAGCCAUUCAGCUGGAGGACAGUGCCUUCUCACUGCUGAGAAGCAAUCUGUCUCUUUAGGAGGUCUUGGGGAUUGUUUUCAGGGAACAUCACCACUCCUAGAUAAAAAAGCACUCAAGUGGAUUGUGCAACAGAAAUCACAUCAUUGUUCCUCACAAAGCUCCUGUCAACAUGGAAGGUUUAUGUGUCAGAUGUUCCAAGCUUUAUUUUGUUAAAUACAGUUUUGUGACUUUAUCUUGCUUUGGGUUAAUUCCAGUUUGAUUCUAGAGAAGAUAUGAAGGAGCUAUAAGAAACUUAAGUUCUUUACUAGAUGCAAAUGUGAAAAAUAAAACAACCCUUUUCAAAUCCUGUAUGUUUUUCAUGGGGGCAGAUUCCAUGGAUUCUUAGAGCAGGAUUUCUGAAAUACUUUAGAAGAACAUAUCCACAUGUUAUGUUGGUGGGCUGCACAUCAUGAAAGAAAGAAAAAGUGUCAUUAACCCAUAACUCACGAGGCUACUCCAGAGCAGUAAUCUGAACACACAUGUAUGAAAAAUUAUGUUUAUGGAUUGGAAGGGCCUUUAGAAUUACCUACAUUAGGAGCUGAGGGGUUCUGCCUGGUCAGAAACAAUGUGUGUCACCUGGUGUUGCAAUGAGUAUUCUCCUGCAUCUUGUAUUUGUCCCACUUCUUCCACUUUUCACUUAUGUUGUAUUACAGAGUCUGCAUGGUGUGGGCACCAGUACUGAAGGAAGGAACAAGGUCAGCCAUUCUCAGGGGAUAUACCCAAAGAUCCAUUCAGCUGGAGGACAGUGCCUUCUCACUGCUGAGAAGCAACCUGUCUCUUUAGGAGGAUUAGCAGUCACUAGAUCAUCAAGGGUUUGGAUUUGGUGGAGGAACAUACUCAGAAAUGGAGGAACAGGUCCCUAUGUAUUUGUCUUGUAUUUUUUCUUAUGUAGGCUUCCGAGUGGUACAACUGGUCCUCUUAAUCCAUCCAGUCCACUACUGCCACCUCAAACUCUCUUCAGAAAAAUGGGCUCCUUCUCCUGUUCUUCUGGAACUACAGAACACCAGGCAUGACUUCCACCACCCACCCCAGGCUGUGGGGAUCAGUGUCUUUGCUGUGAAAGGUAUCGGCUUCUUUCCUUGCUGGUAUGCUGUGAGGUGCAGCUUAUGGUAGCAGGGACGUGGGCCCUGAUUACCUAAGUCUUGGAGUGAGCAAAAGAUUUAAACAUGUGCUUAAUAAAAGAGAGAGAAAUGGCCAUCAAUUACAUGAAAAAUAUUAAAAGCCAUCAUCAGGGAAAUGCAAAUUAAAGCCAUUGUGAAGCACUACUAUACACAUUAGAAAUGUUAAAAAUUCUAAGAUGAUGAUACCAUACAUGGUCAAGACUAAGAGUAAUUGGAAAAUUUGUUUUUCUGUUGAUUUACAAAAUGGUAUAGACCCUUUAACAACUUGGCAGUGUCUUAUAAAAGUUAUACAUAUGUUUGCUAUUUGAACCAACAUAUAUGCAAUAUGAAAGUAAAGGUCUAUAUUCAUAGAAGAUUUAUUCAUAAUAACCUCAAACAGAAAAUAAUUGAAAUUUCUACCAAUGGGUGAAUAUAUUAUGGUGUUAUUGUGAUGGGAGGCUACUUAGCAAUAAAAGAGAAUGAAAUACUGACAUACACUCCAGGAAUUAAUCCCAAAACUGGUGUCUGAAAGAAGGUAGAAUCAGGAAAUAAAACCUGUAUAAUUCCAUGUGUAUGAAAGCCUAGAGAAGAAAAUCCUGAUCUAUAUUGUCAAGGGUGAGAUUUAUGGUUCCUUGGAGACAGAAUUGGCAGAAUUGUCUGAGAAAGGAGAGGAAAUGCUUGUGGGUGAUAAAAGUGUUCUAUGUUUGGGUUUUGGUGGUGGUUCUACAGGUGUAUAAAUUUGCCAAACCUCACCAAAAUAUGAAGUUAAACUGGUACAACUUGUGAUAUAUAUAAACUAUUUCUCAAUAAAGGAGAUAAGAACAAUUGUGUUCAGCUAAAUACACACUUAUGAAGAAAUUACAGUUUUAAAUAUAAAUGUUAGCAAAAAAAUGUUAAAAUCUAUGAUUGUUAUAAUCUAUGAGAAUCUGUGAUUUCAUUCCAAGAAGCUAAAAAAAGAAGCCUGAAUCAUAUCCAAAUAGAAGAAAACAAAAGAACAUAAGAAGAAACUAGCUGUAUAAUGCAUAAGAAAUGAUAUUGGCAGAGAUUAAUAAAAUAUUAAGUCCCCAAAAGCUUAAACUCACAAAAAAGAGUAUGCAAAUAUUACCCAAAUAUUACCAGUAGGAGAACUGUAAAGGGGAACAUUACUCAAAUCAAACAAAUAUUAGAACUGUAAUAAUAAAAUAUCAUGAACUAUUUAAAGCCCCAAAUUAUAUGAUCCAAUAAAAUAUGGACAAAUUACAAACAGGUAAGCAAAAAACUUACACAAGAAUAGAAAAUUUAAGUCUUAGGUAGUUAAAAUAGUUGAAUUCAAAUUGAAAAUUUUCCUAUAAAGAAAAUUCCUGGCUUAUUUAUAUCAUCUAUAAUACCAAUAAUUUAAUCUUACAUAAACUUUUACAGAGAACCAAAGCCAAACACAAAAUAAGAGGGAAAAAAAGCAAAAAAAUAAAUAAUUCUCAAUUCAUUUUAUGAGUCUACCAUAAUCUGAAAAAAAAGUCUGGCAAAGCUAUUACACUAAAGGAAACAGUACAUCACAGAGACGUAGAAAUUUAAUGCUUCAGUUAAAUUUGUCUAAAAAAUAAAAAAAGGAAACAUUCAAGACAGUAUGGAGAGACAUACAAGCCUAUAAAACUUUAAAAUUUGACAGAUCUUAAAGUGUAUUAAAAAUAUAACAUAUAAUGUCUGAGUGGAAUCUAAUUCAAAAAUACAAAGUUGCUUUAACAUCCCAAAAUAAGUCCACAUAUCCAGUCAUGGUGGUGUAUGCCUGCCAAUCCCAGCCACUUGAGUGGUGGAGGCAGGGGGAUUGAAAGCUGGAGGCCAGCCUCAGCUAUGUUAAAGAAACCCUGACUCAAUGUUUAAAAAAGGGCUAGGGUUGUAGCUCAGUGGUAGAGGGCCCCUGUGUCCAAUUCCAGUAGCGCAAAAAUAAAUGCACAUAGACAAAAUUUGAGGAUAUUAUGCUAAAUGACAUAUCAUAAAAAGACAAAGUAUGAUUCUCCUUAUAUUAGGUAGCUAAAAUAUUCAAAUUUGUAAAGAGAAAAAAUAGAAUGGUUAUCUUCAGGGGCUGGGAAGUGGGGAGGAGAUGGUGAAUUGUUGUUUAAUGGGUGAUGGGUUUGGCUUUGCAAGAUGAAAAGAGUUCGGGGCAUGGAUAGUAGUGGUUGAUACACAAUAAUAUAAAUGUUAUUAACAGCACUGAAUUAUAUAAAAAUAAUGGUUAAGUGGCAAAAUUUAAUGUUAUAUGCAUUUCACCACAAUUUAAGAAAAUUCUAAAAAUCAAUGCAUAGAAUUCAAUCGCAUUACCAGAAUGAAAAGAAUCAUUCUUAGAGUUGCAGAACAAGUAUUUAAUGAAAUUCAGCAAGUGUCCAUGAUAAUAAACUUCAGAAAACUAGGAUUUGAAGGAACUUCCUUAAUGUCAUAAACAUUAUCUAAAAUUUAACUCAUCUCAUACUAAAGAUAAAAUGAUUCAAUUUCUCUUAGAUUUGAAGAAAAAAAUACAAAAAUGUCUACUGUCUGAACUUCUGAAGCUCCUAGCCAGUGCAAUAAAGAAAAAAGUGGUUUAAAGAUUAUAAUGUGUACUCAGGCUGUCUAAAACUGAAACAUAGAAAGACCAAAAGAAUGAACAAACUAUUAUAAUUUAGACAUAAAUUUAGCAAGGUAACUGUUUAUAAGGCUGACUUUUUAAAAAACAUGUACAUAUAUACAUAUAUGUACAAAAUGUAUUAGUUAUAUAUAUUGUAGCAAUAAGCAGAAAAUGAAAUAUUUAAAAAUAGCCUUUAAAAUAUCAAUAACAUAAAUAACAAAGCUACAACUGAAAAAUAUAGCAAAACUUCUGAAAUUGAAACAAAAACUAAAGCAAAAAUUAGUGAUAUUAAAAUAUCUACAAUAAAUUCAACUUCAGAAUGUCCAUAAACUGAAAGUGUCAAUAUUGUUAAUAUGUAUUUGGUAAUUGUUGGACAAUACCACUCCAUGCAGAAUAGUUCUUUUUAAAGAAGAGUUUGGGAGAGAGCCUUUGCUGGUCAAUUUUGUUAGGGGUGCUGAUGUGGCCAGGAACUGGGGAGCCUUCAGGGGUAAGCAGUGCCAGCAGUCUUCUGCUACAUGGGGGUUUAGAUCAUUGAGAAGGGGGGAAGUUUUGUUUAACCUUUGCUAGAGCUGAGGGUCUAAAUCAUGUGUCUUACUUACAAGGGGUCAGGUGGAGCCUGAAACCCAAUAUUCUCAAAUUGUUAUUUUUCCUGUCCAGUAUAUCUUCCUACAUUUGUGAUAGGGAAAACCCUUUUCUGCCAGGUGACAUUUGCUUGGCAUUGCAGGGUAAAUAGAGGUACCAGGCACAGUGGCAAUUCUGUCAUCCCUUUUAUGUCUGGAGAAGCAGAAACUGGGGGACUAGGAACAGGUGGGGGAACAUAUUCCUCAGGAGGAGUGGAGCAUAGCAGGGAGGGCAUGGUGGUCCUGUUGCAUAGGUUUGUUCCUCAUGGAUGCAAAAACCACGAGGGAAUGGUUCAGUGCAUGUAUCCAUUCUGUUGCUUCUGGAGGGAGAGAUGCAUUUCUGAGAGGUUCAUAGUGGAAAAGGGCUGUGACUCAUUGUCUCAGGACUCAGUAAGACAAAAGCCACUACAAAAAGCAGCAGAUUCCCCCUAGUAAGUUUACCACACGAAGUCCAAUGCUAGAGCUGUCAAUUUAGUCAUUUGGGGCUGUUGCAGUCAGACCUAUGGAUAACAGCAAGGCACUUAAUGUCAUCAGUCUAGUCCAGCAGUGUGACAUUGUGACCAUUGUUCCCACUUAUGCCCCAUUGAAUUCCUGAAGCUUCCAGGGUGGUUUGGCCAGUCAGCCUUCAGGUCUGUGACUGGGGCAGGGCUUUAAUUUCCUUGGGUCCUGUGAGUUGGCACGUUAAUGUCUGGGUGUGGAUUCUGGAGUGUGGGUCUGAGUGGGUUUCUGGGGUUGCCCUCAGAUGUGCAGGUGGUGGAUUUCUCAGUAUCUACUGCCUUUUAAAGGGGAGAGUGUUGUAUCCACGGGCCUAUUCCUGCAACUUUAAUAGCAGUGGGAGAGGUUAAUGUGACAAUAUGGGGUCCCCACAGGUGGGUUGAAAUGGUGGCUCCUUCCAGUUUUUAAUCCAUACAGAGUUUCUGGGCUGGUGUGGGUGCAGUUGAUGUUGGAGUGAGAGGAGAAUCCUCUCUUGAACAUCUCUAGAUGUCUGGUGGAGAAUCUUUCCUAGGACCUGGAGCUGUCGGGACAGGCUAAGCUCAUCUAUCUGACAGGGACCCCUUCUUAGUGUAUUUAUUGCAGGUGGAGGAUCUGAAAUGGAGAGUACCCUGUGCCUCCAGGUGUACAGCAGACCUGGAGGAGAGCUUAGGGAGGAAUCUACCCAUGAAAUCCUUGUUUCCUGACAGAGUUUAGCAAGGGUGGUCUUUAGGGUGUGGUUCAUCCAUUCAAUUUUCCCUGAACCCUGUGGUCAGUAGGUGGCAUGUGGCUUCCAUUUGAUUGCCAAUAUUGGGUGAUUGUCUGGGUAACUUCCAGAUGAAGGUGGGCCCAUGGUCUGACCUGAAGAACAGGGGCAGGUGAUAUCUGGGGAUUAUUUCUUUUAACAGAGCUUUAGUCACUUUCCAGGCCAAUUCUGUUUAGGUGGUUACGGCCUCCACCUAUCAGGUACCAGUAUCCCUUUCUUGGUUUGACUUCCAUGAAGUCUCCAUUGUCUUUAAAAAGGUGAAGUCCCAAUGGCCUGAACCCCUGAUUCUGGGUUGGCUGCUGGUUAGCAUUAAUUUGGCACAAGUUACACACCUCUGGCUCACUGAACUGAAUGAAAAUGAAAACGGCACUUCAAAAUUUAUGAUAAGCCAUUGAAGUCACUACAGGGAGAAAUCUGUAGGACUCAACACUUGUGUUAGAAAAAACUUUAUUUUGUCUAGCCAUGUUUUUUCAUUCCAGAAGUUUGUCACCUGCUUGGUUAAAUUUAUUCCUAAGUGUUUUAUUCUUUUUAAGUCUGGUGCAAAUGGGAUUUCUUUUUAAAUUUCUGUUCAGACAGUUCAUUGUUGGUAUAUGGAAAAGACCAUUGAUUUCUGUGUGUUGAAUGGGUCCUCUGCAACUUUUCUGACAUCAGGUGCUAGCUUUGGUAGUGUUUUGGUGGGUUUUUCUUUGAAUUUUCUGUAUGUAAGGUCAUCUUGUCUGCUAAUAGAGCCUCACUUCUUCCUUUGGAGUCUGUAUUCCUCCUAUCUUUCUCUUUCUGGCCUAAUUGCUCUGGCCAGCACAGACAGUACAGUGCUGAGGGGCAGUGGAUUGAGGAGGUGUCGUUUUGUUGUUCUUGCCUUCAGGGACAGUUUUCGGUCUUCCACCUUUGAGUGUCUUGUUAGCUCAACUAUGGGUUUUCCUAGUCAUCCUUUAUGAGAUUGAGGAAAAUUCCUUCCCUUUGUACUCUGUUGAGACUACUUAAUCAUGAGACAUUAAUUUCUUUUCUUUUAAUGUUUUUUAAGUUGUAGUUGGACACAAUACCUUUAUUUUAUAAAUUUAUUUGUAUGUGGUGCUGAGGAACAAACCCAGCACCUUGCAUGUCCUAGGCGACGGCCCUACCACUGAGCCACAACCCAGCCUGAGGCUGCAUGGGCUCUCUCUCAUCCAGCAAGGAGGUCCACAGAACAGGGCAGAGGAGAGUAUGGCUAAGAGUCCCUAAUCAAGGCCUCUGGAGACCAGGCAGGAAGCAGGUCUAAUUGUAUUGCACAGUUACCAUGUAUAUAUGCUCAGGCAGCAGCUAAGCAGAUUAGAGGCAGCCACCAAUGCAAUUUCUGCUAACUGUCCUUAAGGCAAGGAGUGGACCAUGGAGCAAGCGCAGGGACUGCAAUACAUGGCCUCAUGUUCAGGGCUGUGCCUAUGGGGUAAGCGGCCUGCCGCUCACAUGCCUAGCAUGAGGGGUGUGGCCUGCCACUCAGACGCCCUUAACAUAUUCCAUGUAUGCAGUACUCCAUGCACUUGUCCCCACAGGAGACAUUAAUUUCUGAAAGGCUUUGUUUUCCUUUUUAAUGUAGAAACUUUGGUGUGUGUGUUCUAUUGUGACUGGUGCUGAUUCUAAAGCAAGGGCUCCAAUUAGAGUCAUUGGCGAUGGUGGAGGGACUGCCAUCAUUGUGGUGUGGAGACCUUACGUUUUUUUGUUAUUUUUAAUUGUGGAAGGUACCACUGUUAUGCUGUUGACUUAUUAACUGUGCACAUAUAAAAGGCCUGGGGGUAAUGGUGUGGCCAGAUGAGCCUCACAUGAGUUGGUGCCUUGUGUGAAAUGUUGACUUUGGCUUCCAAACUGAAAAAAUGCUACUUUGAUCAUUUAUUAAAAGAUUGGAAACUGCUCAGUUAAGUAAUGUGCAGCUGUUCAUUGGUGCUAAUAUAGACGAUUGUUUUACAAUUAAAGUAGGGUACAGAGUUGACAACCACUUCAAAACAAACAUCAGAGGCCUGGGGUGGAGCUCAGGGGCAGAGCAUAUGUUUAGCAUGCAGGACCCCCUUGGGGUCCACCAUCACACACACACACACACACACACACACACACAUGCAUGCACAAACUGUCUCUCUCUCUCUCUCUCUCUCUCUCUCUCUCCCUCUCUCUCCCUCUCCCUCUCUCUC
rnacentral:lncRNA from 1 species